rnacentral:ncRNA from 1 species
CGAUUUGGUUCUGUUGAUACAGAUGAAAAGGGAAUAAGGUGAAAAUCCUUAACAGUCCCGCUGCUGUAAGCUUCAAGAAUUGUUUUAGUAAUCAUGUCACUGUCGUAAGAUGGGAAGGCACUAAAACAGAAGUAAGUCAGAAGACCUGCCAAAUUGUUUU